rnacentral:rRNA from 1 species
UACGAAGGGGGCUAGCGUUGCUCGGAUUUACUGGGCGUAAAGGGCGCGUAGGCGGACAGUUAAGUUGGGGGUGAAAGCCCGGGGCUCAACCUCGGAAUUGCCUUCAAUACUGGCUGUCUUGAGUACGGGAGAGGUGUGUGGAACUCCGAGUGUAGAGGUGAAAUUCGUAGAUAUUCGGAAGAACACCAGUGGCGAAGGCGGCUCACUGGACUGGUAUUGACGCUGAUGUGCGAAAGCGUGGGGAGCAAACAGG